CGCCCCCAUGCUCUCCACUCCGCCCUCCGCUUGCCGCGCCACCAGAGCGGGCUGGAAUCGUGGCCACCAGCAAGCCGGCACAGCGCACGGGCACGAUGGCGAGCUGGCGCUGCUGCCUGGCCCCCAGCGCGGCAGGCUGCUGGUGAGGCGGGGAUCUGGCAGUGUGCCCUCGGCGCAACGCCUCCUAGCCGAGGCGUGGGUGUGGCCGGCCUCGGGUUGCCGGCGCUAGCGGUGACGUGCAAGCCAUCGGCUCAGGUCCCUUGGCGCGGCAGGCCACCAGCGCAGAUCCCUGCAACCGGCGAGCUAGCAAGGUAGCGGGCUCCAGGCAAUGCGGCAUCCAGACGCGGCGCCGGCUCCUCUGCAUGGAUUAGUGCCAAUGUGCAAGCUCUUAUUAGCUUGUAGUGUUUAUCCUCUUGUCAUAGCAGCAAAAGAAUAGGUAGACACUAUCAUACUCCUGAACAUAAAGCAAAAGGGCCUUGUGUUCGAUCCCCAAACUAUGCUCAUUCGUGAGUGCCGCCACCCAGAUUACUAUAUGUGGUGCUAUGUCAAUUUGCAUUGCUUCAAUUUCAGUACUACUUAUUCCAAUAGAAAUUUACCAUGUAUUUUCAGGAAUCAUCAUGAAGAACUGAUCCCAAAAAAGUAAAGGCUAAGGAAUAAAAAAAAGGUAUGUAAUUUCAGCAAUAACUUUCAUGUAAUCUGGGAUCAGUUAUUUCUAAUCUUUUGAAUUUAGCUAAACUUCUAUGUGAAUCUGAAUGGGUUAAUUUAAUUUAAUUUUAGUUCCAGUUUCAUGUGUACUACUUGUCUGUGAGAUUGCGACAACAUAAUUCAGCUGAAAUGCUCAAUAUAUAAUCCAUUCUAGAUAAUGACCGUGCUGUGGUAGAGGUCAUGCUAUUUAUACAGUUGCUUAACCUGUUUAAUUUGGUACAUCUUUACAGAACAAAACUAAAACAUCAGGUUCAGCACCCUGAAAAGAAGGUGAUCUGUUUUAUCAGUUCCAUGCAUUGCAGUAUGUCUUCGAGUUUGCCUUGCCACCCUCUGAUUACAACAUAAUUCACCCAUGAUUUAGCUCCUGAAACAGAAUACAAUUAUGUCAUGCUGAAAAUAUAUCGAGAAUCGAUAAGACUAUAAAUUUCUCAGUGGAAUUUCAGCAUGUCGGUGGUAUAUGAAAAUGAUAUACCAGCAAUGAGAACAUUUCAAAAAGGGUAUUAUUUCAAUUCUGAAUAUAAAUACAAAAACCUAUAUCUUAUCCCUAUACUCAUGAUUCGUUAAUUAUUAUAACUUCCCAAUAGAUUGCCAUCUUAGAAGACACCAAUUCAAAAACUGGAACUCCAAAGCGAAGACUACAUGGAGCAAGGUGUUGAAGAAAAACUCUGUUUGACCUCAAAGGCUCAAACACAUAGUUAACUAUACAUAUUCAGAAUAAAAGAUUUCAGUGCACGGAGUUGCAAACUCUAGAAUAAUACUAGGCGAUGAUGGAUAUGACUGCACAAAAGAUGGUUGCUCAUGCAAGCAAUAUGAUUGGAAGUAAGAAAACUCCUCCAUAACUAGAGAUGGCAACGGGUACAAACCCGCUGGGUUUUGCCAUCCCAAACCCAUGCCCGCGAAAAUAAAAUCUGUCCGUUAAAAAACCCAUGACCCAUCACGGGUUUAGUUUUGUGCCCAAACCCAUGCCCAUUCGGGUCACGGGUACCCACGGGUCACCCAUGAUAUCAAUAAAAUUUAAACUUAUUUCAUAGAUAUUUUUUAGAUAUAAAUAUCUCAUGUAGUUCAACUUUUUUGUCUUUCUAAUCUAAGAAGAGAAAAAUAUUAUAGAUUUUAACUAUUUGCCUAGGUAUCACUAAAUAGUAUAGAUUCCACCACUCUCUCCUCUGGUUGUCGAUAUGGGACUAAAAACAUCAUGUUGUGAGUAAUAACUAAAAACAAACAUAUGUGGGCUCGUUUUCCUUGUUAAAACCCAGAUAGACAACACCAUCUCAAGCAAAUGUGUAAUGUAUGGAUAGUUGGUUUUGUUCUUUUGCCAACAGUAAUUUCAGCCAUAACUUUUUCGACCAGCCAACAGUAAUUCCUAUCGCUACUCCUUAUGCUACAUAGAAGACAACCUGCCGCCGAUACUUGUUUGACGGAUACGAGAUAGAUGAGCUAUUGCUCGGCAGAGCAGCUCUCUCAACACAACAUGAUCCUUCAUCUUCAAUAGAUGCUCUCUUUUGGGAAUAAUUUGAUCCCAAAAAUUUCAUUACUAGGAACAAACAUGUAUUACUGGAAAUAAAUACUUAUCCUACUACACUCAACAAAACAACUAAUACAGAAAAACGGUCCAUCAACACUGCAAACAAUCCACACACUGGCCAUACGCGGCAACACCACGAGCAUUUCUAGUUAAUUAUAUGGUGCAACACCAUUGCAGAUUUCAUAAGAUAGCACACAAUUUGGUUAGUCAAAUUUUUUCAUUAAAAUAGCCCACUAAAAACAUACUUAUAACAUAGAAAUGACAAGCUACUAAAUCAUAGUUGUUCUGUUAUAUCAUCCAUGAGAAUGUGAUGACUUAUUAACGUAUAUAUUUACAAUUUUGAAACGGUACUGAAAGGUAGACAACAGAUCGUUUGAGUCAACACUAUUCAGAGCCAUCAGAGGUCUCAUCAUCAUCAUCGUCAUCACCAUCAUCAUCAGAUGACACACCUCCAACUGCAGCCCGUAGCACUAGAUUAAGUAAUCCUGUAUUGUCCUCAUGGUCCUCUGAUGAAUCUUCUUCAGCUGAUCGCUGCCUAUGUUCUGAUACCAGUAUGUGUUGGAUCAACAGAUCUGGUAAGUCAAAGCGCCAGAACUUGGCUCUUCUCUUGCGAGGUCUCGACUGGAGCUGCCAAACAAGGGAGGUACUCAAUAAAUUGUAAAUGUUUAAAUUUCAAAUAUCAAAUGAAAAUGGAUGACGCUGAACUGGAAAAACGAAAUCAUGGAGAAAGUAGUGAUGUACACAUAUACCAAUGUCUCCACCAGAUCAAUAAAUAUGGCAUCCUGACCGACAGAUUGCUACAGUUUCUCCACUGUGAGGAGAAUAUAUGUUGGCCAAAGGUAGAGAUGAUAAGGGGACAUAGAUGGCCAGGGGAUAUUACCUCAUCAACAUUUACCACAGGUGCCCGCUCAAUUGCAGAGGGAGUCCAAACUUUGACAUCAUUAUCAAUUCCACAGCUCGCAAUUGUCAUAGCAUGAGGAUGAGGCUCAAUGCAAUUCACAAUGCACUCAUCACCCUCCAUGGCUCGUAGAAACUUCCCAUCUCUCUUUCUCCAAAUAAACAUCCGACCACAAUCUGACCCACUGGCAACAUAUUCAUCAUUUGGCCCAAUGAAACUCACACGCUUCACGGUUUCACAGUUGCGAUGACCGACAUAUACCUGAGGUGCAGGUUGAGAAACAUCAUGUCCAGAUGCUAACGUUGUUGAUUUGCACCCUUCAUUUGCUCCUAUCUUAACAGAUUUUUUGGGGUCAGAUCCCAGCCCUCCAUUUUUAGGGAAUAGGUAAAUAUUCUCUUCAUUGUAAGAUACAAGCAACUCACUCAGGUGAGAGAACGCUAACCCUGUUAUCCCAACACUCUUAUCGUCAACUAGAUGUGGUGGACAAUAGCAGUUAGAUGUGUGACCAAAAUCAGAUGAUCCAUCCCACUUGCACUUGCGGAUGUCAUACACACGAGCAUAUGCAUUACUUCCUCCAACAGCAAAAAGAUUUGGGUUCCUUGGAUCUAUUGCAAUUGCAUUUAGGUGGAUACGAGUUGAGGAUACUGAUUUAAUGAAGGAGCUUCUGCAAAGAAAUAGUUUUGAGGCAGUAUUUGUUCUGAGAUCAAACUGCACAGGAAAUAAAUGGCUAAUUAAACUUGGUUAUAGUUCAGUUUACAAACACCUGAAAUACUGCACCUGUUUUUAAUGGCUUACUUGUUGAACAAGGCCAUCCUCACCACAGCUGUAGAGGAUAUAAGGGCUACCGGGCUCUAUAGCCAAAUUGUGAGCCCUUCCCCCAUGUUCACCAAGCAAUGUUGUGGAGACGUCUCCACCAUCCUGUAUCUUGGCAAGCCUCACCUGGUAGAGGCACAAGAGCAUCACAGCUGAUGAAAACUGAGACGGUGAAUAAGAUCAACUAAAGUUGAACAAGAAAGCAAAGGAGCUAAGAAACCAACCUCGCCAUCGGCAGCACAAGUGACAAUGGUCUGGUCGUCUGAGCAGGGCAUGAACCGUGCCUGGAACACAUUGCCACCAUGUCCUGAAUGAAACUCUAAUUUGACGGUGCCAGUGUCCCAGUCCCACAGCAUCACCCUCUGGUCAUCAGACCCCGAUACGAGGAUGUCACCGACCUCACUGAAGCUCACUGUGUUGACGCAACCCGUGUGUCUGUCAAGCUUCCGGUGAAUCUGAAGCCGCAUCACAAGGUCCUGUAAAGGAGGUAAUCGCAUCAGCCACACACACACAAAAAAAAAAAAAUUGCAUCCAGUAUUCACUAAUUCUGAUUAAUUUACUAAGGAACAUGCUAGCAAUGAGUUCGUGAUUCGACCGUCCUGUUGAUUGAACACUUUAAUAGGGCACAUAACCAAGCCAAUACGUCAGCCAAACACCUACGCAGCACAGAAAUCAAAUCAACUGGCACCACCCAACGCUAAAUGGAACUCAGCACGGCCCCCAAUUAGCACCACACGGCCCGGGCCCGAGACCACGCCACGUCAUUGAACGCCGGCCGUCCAGCCCGAUCGCUGCGCGCGCCGAUCCGCCCCCGCGACACGGAUCGAGAUGCGGCGGCGACGUGGGGAUUGAGAAGGGCACAGUGCGGAGAAGGAACGGAACUACAGAAGGCAGGGGGGGACUGACCUCGGAACCGGCCGCGCGGCGGGCGAAGCGUCGCGGCAGGAGGUCCCCGACCUCGCGGAGGCAGAGGUCGGCGGCGCCGUGGCGCGCCGCGACGGCUGCCCCUGGGCCCGGGUGCCUCCACGGGCGGCGCAUGGUGACGAGACGAAGUGUGGGUUGUGUUGUGUGGUGAAUGCGAGCAGCACGAAUCCUCCAGAAGGGAAGGGCCCGAGGAAUAGGGGUCAAACGAAGGAAGUUGCGGCCCGCGCAUGAGAUUGGAUGCCGUCAUGCUACUGUCCUGCCGGGCCCUGCCGAUGAUAUGUACACGUGUCGAGCAGACGAAGGUUGUCUGCGGUGAGUUUGGCAAAACUAGUACUAUUUCAAUAUUUUAGCAAAAACAGAAAAAAACUUCCUCUAGUAGUUUAGUAAAAUAGCUCUUUAAAAACAAAAGGUUGUUAAAUAUCUUUAUUAACUCAUAAAUUUUCAAAGUCGAGAGAACUUUCUGUCUCUCUUUCUUACACAUAUUUUCAUGUCCAACCACCAUAUGUACGGGUUUCCAUUGCCGCCGUUCUAUAGGUCAACGCUAUUGCCUCAUGCUUUCCUCUACGGGUGUUAUUAUCUUUUGUUCGAAAGCAAGGUAUGUUGCCUUCAUAUGUAUAUAGUCUGCUAUCUUUAUAUAUAUAUAUAUGCUCAUCGCUUGUAUUAGGCGGAAGACAUGAAUGCUAGGCAUGCCUUGCUAGCCGAGUGGUCAUACAGAGCUAGUGCUCACAUUAGUGCGAUGCCGAGAAAAGAUAUAAUUUUCUUUUCAAUUUUUUAUAAACAAUAUAAUAAACCAAAGAAUAUUAAAUGUGGGUCCUAUUAUAACUUUUAUAAAGUUGUUAUAGGAGACUCUUGAAGAAGACCAAAAAUUAAGGUUGCUAUUUCUUUUAUUAACUUGCUAAAUUAAUUAGUUUAGUAAGUAAAUUAUACCAAACUCUUUGAAAUGCUCUAAGGGGGUGUUUAGUUCCUCUCAUAUUCAAAAAAAUUUUGAGUUUUGGUUUAUCAUUUUGCAAAAUGGAACUAAACACCAUGCAAAAUUUUUGGCAAAAUGGUGGUUAUUCUCCAUUUUGGAUUUCGACCUCAAGAGGCCGAAAAAACCUAAAAGAGCCUCAUGAGGAUCUCAUGAGGACAAUAAAUUCUGUAUUUUGGAUGGAACUAAACAUGACCCUAAAAAUUUUGGCAUUUUGCAUUCCAUUAUUCCAAAGUAGUUGGCAUUUUGCAUUUUUUUAGGACUUGUUUAGUUUCUAAAAUUUUUUGCAAAAAACUUUAGAUUUCCUAUCACAUCGAAUCUUAUGGCACAUGCAUGGAGCAUUAGAUAUAGAUCAAUUUAGCAAGUUAAUAAAAGAAUUUUUUUGAGCAUUAGAUAUCGAAAUUUUUGGAGCAUUACAUCGAAUGUUUAGUUCUGUUAUACAGUUUGUCUAUAAUUUGCGAGACGAAUCUUUUGAGCCUAGUUAGUCUAUGAUUGGACAAUAUUUGUCAAAUACAAACGAAAAUGCUAUAGUGUCUAUUUUGCAAAAAAAAUGGAACUAAGCACCCCCUUAGUUCCCCUCAUAUUCCAAAAAAUUUUAGGUUUUGGUUCAUUGUUUUGCAAAAUAGAACUAAACAUUAUGUAAAAUUUUUUAAAAAGGUGGUUAUUCUCCAUUAGCCUCAAGAGGCAGAAAAAAAACCCAAAAGAGCUUCAUGAGACCCUCAUGAGGGCAAUAAAUUUUACAUUUUGGAUGAAACUAAACAUGACCCUAAAAAAUUUGACAUUUUGCGUUCCAUUCUUUCAAAGUAGUUGAUAUUUUGCAUUUUGUAUUUUUUGGAACUAAACACCCCCUAAUAAUGGGAAAGACGAUGGAGGUGAGAAAAAACUAGGUAAAGGGUGUUUAGUUCUCCUUAUAUUCUAAAAAGUUUUGGGUUUUGGUUUAUUAUUUUACAAAAUAGAACUAAACAUCAUGCAAAAGGAUGGUUAUUCUUCAUUUUGGAUUUUAGCCUCGAGAGGCAAAAAAAAAAAGACCAAAAGAGCCUCAAGAGACCUUGACGAGGGCACUAAAUUCUGCAUUUUUUAUGGAACUAAACAUGAUCCGAAAAUUUUGGUAUUUUGUAUUUCAUCAUUCCAAAAUAUUUAGAAUUUUGUAUUUUAUAUUUUUUGAACUAAACACCCCCUAAGUACCGUCUCUGUCAAUACGUGGUGCGGAUUGUUCGGCCGAUACGUGGGUCACCUUAUCAUUUUAGGGCCUGUUUAGUCUUUCUUGCUAAAUUUUAGUUAGCUAUAAUAAUUUUAGUUGCUCUUAAAAUAACUAGUGGGACUAAACUAUUUUAGCUUUUUUUACUCAAUGUAUUUGGAAAUUUAGUUACUAAAGUGAUUAAAGUUUAGACGAGUAAAAUUUAGCAAAGGGAAAUAAAGAGGCCCUUAAUCAUAUGCAUGCUAAAUUAGAUGCUUCAUGAUUCACACAUCAGUUGGACAUCCGUAUCAUGGCCAGUUCCAAAAUUUUUUGCAAAAUAGAAAUAGUAGCACUUUUGUUUUUAUUUAACAAAUAUUGUCUGAUCAUAUACUAACUAGGCUAAAAAGAUUCGUCUCGCAAAUUACAGGUAAACUGUAUAAUUAGUUAUUUCUUUCACCCACCGCGUGCCUCGACGCCCUGUCCUCCACGCCUCCCCUGCCUCGAUGUCCGUGCGCUGCCGCUAGUAAGAGAGUCCAGAGGAGAGAGGAGGCUGAGUGGAGGUGUUGGGCUGGUGUUGGUAUAAAUUAACUGUACUCCUUUAAAUAAGAUUUAAGUAAGAUUAUCCGCAAGCGCACAGAUAUCGUACCAAUGUCACAUUUUACCCAGAGGUUUUAAAUAUCGUAUCCAUAGGGAAUAGUUGUGAUGAUGACCAAGUAUAUCGACUUAACCCUACAAUUAGGCUAGAUCAUAUCAAGAAAAAGGAAAUCGCUAAUGCACUAUGGUUCUAACUACGGUAAACUUUGUAUGAUAUCGUCUUAUUGGACAAGUAACCCGAAUAGGAGAAGAAACAGAGUAAUCUCCUACCAGGCACCUAUAAGCCUAUCAGUCCUAUCAACGGGAAGUGGACUAUAGAGGAAUCAACGUAGCUAUAAAGUCACCUAUGCGAGCUACCACUGUCCGCCUGAUCAGGGGACAUCCAUAAGUAAACCUAGUCUAGGCACCACGCCUACACUACGAAAUACUACUUCAACCAAGUAAUUACUAAGAUCAAAGCAUUCAAUAUGAGUUGUGAACCAAAGAACAAAUAAGAACAAGUUGCUUACUUAAAUCGGAAUGGUAAGUACAAAAGUACCUCAGAACGUAGCUCCGGGAGAGGGAACUGGAUCGAGACGAAUACAACCACGAAGAAGCGCUGACAGGCCGGAACUCCUCCAGAAUCUCUACUCCUCUACUCAAUCUCUCUAAUAUCUAAACAAGACUAGAUCUAGAAGAACUAGUCUCUUCUAAUUGGUACAUCUAGAUGAACUAGAACUAGUUCAACUAGAGGGACCCUAACCCUAAUUAUGUAGAGAAUAUGAAGCACUGGGGUAUAGAAUGCCUCUUAGGGGGAGCCUUGGGCGUCAUUAUAUAGGCCGAGGUGGAGUAGGGGUCAAGGAAUCGCCACGUCAGCGAUCGGCGUCUUCACCUUGUGUGCACCGUUAGAUCAAACCGACUUAAAAUCGACGAAGAGAUACUUUGCUUGGCUUCCAAGGAGGCGUAGGAGGAAGACUCCAGAAGGCGGUGACCAUCGGGCUAAAUAGGGCGCCGACCAGCCCCAAGGUGGAGCCGGCCGGCCCCACCUUGUUUCCUCUGCGGGUCUCGUUCCUCCAGGUGUCUUCUAGACCCUUCCUGAGUCUUCUCGUGAUGUUUUCCGUCGCGGAUGAGUGUCGUGGUAAAUAUGCACUAGAAUCCCUCUUUUCAACUUUUCUAAAAUUCACCCUAGAAAAUACAGAAUAUGCAAAACUCGUGGAAAUUGUCAGAUAAAACUCUAGAAUAGUGUGUUUUCAUGUGUUCCCUUGUGUCUAAAGUUCUAAUAAAUAUUGACGUUAUCGACCGUCAACAAUACCCCCAAGCUUACCUUUUGUCAGUCCCUUGGCGAACUACCCAAGCCUAAUUAUUAAUAUAUUUGCAUCAGGAGUUGCUACAAUACUUUUAUUUCUUUUAAGUACACUUGCUUUUAAACAUAAAUUUUUCUCUGGUCUAACUUCCAAACUUACCCACUUUACCUUUAACCAUGGAACUUUACAACUUUUGCAUAAAUCUUGAGUAAUCGAAAGAUAGAACAAUCAAGUCAAACACUAUGUCUCCAAUUCUUUACAGUACUAAUAUUCCAGAGUUUUGUAAGUUUUCAAAAUAAAGCUCAGAGCAUAAUUGUAUGACACCCUCAAGUCUCUUAUUAUAUAGUAUUUAUGGAUCUCGCUGAGGCAUUAAAGAGGUUAUGCCUUCCUACAACUAAGGAUAUAUAGUGGAGCUUAUAGGAGUGGCAAUAACAAGGAUGAGCAUACUUGUAAUUCAUAUAUUGUAAAGUCAAACAAUGGAUCCAUAGAGAAUCGAGGCAUACAAUCAAACUAAGAUGUGUAUGUGUAUGGAAUAGGUGUAUAUAGAGUAUUUAGUGGCUAAUCCUAAUUCUACUUUUGCUCUUUGAAAAUAACUCCCUCCUUUAGAACUUUUUGCAGGAAAACCAUGGGCUAUUUUAUUCUUUCUUUAUUUCUUAUUUUUUCCUUUCUCUUCUCUCUUUUUUAAUCUAAGAGGCGGGCAUCUAUGUACCCAUUGUUUUAAUUGUUGGACACUUGUCCAUCUUUUACUCUCCCUUUUUUUCUUUUUAAAUAUUUUUGCAUAGCCACAUGCAUCCUUUGAAUAUAAAUCAUUAGAGAGAUAAUGAUAAGAACUUAGAGCAAUUAAAUGGGAGCUGUCCUAUAGGGUAUUUUUUUGUUGUUGUUUACUCCCACUGUUGGAGAAAACAUUUUUUAAGGUGGAUCUAGGUGAAAGUGGAAAAUAAUUGCGCUUACUCCCAGAGUAGGAGCAAUGCAAAUGUAGGUGUAGUGCGUAAGUGAUCUUGAUUUUAAAAGCAUGACAAGACUCUCAUAAGGUAUACAACAAAGGUUGACUAAACUCAAUGCAAAGUAAGCAGCAUUAAUGCGCAAAGGUUUUCAUAACUCUAAAUGUAUCAUAUAUGGCUUUGGUAGGAAUUUAAACUUUAUCAUACAAGAGCUCAUCAUGUAAGAUUUUGUUUUUUUUUGAAAAUAAAUCUCCAGAACUUAGUAAUGCUAGGAAUAAGAUAAAUAGCAGCUUAGAACUUCAUGUAUAAUAUCAAUUACCUAGACUCAGCUUAAACAUAUGCCUCCACAAAUUUUAGGUUCAGAGUAAAUUCUUAUAUUAAAGUGGUCAUGUCUAAAACUUAGGAGAAUUCAUGGUUGAAAACUAGGCACUUGAAAGAAAUUACUGUAGAGCAACUAUUCAUCAUCUCCAAGACAAAAUUUUAUUAUUCUCUAAUUUUUAUUUGACUCUAAACUACACUAUAUGAUCACACCUUAAUAUAUAGAUACAUAUUUUGUUUGGUUGUUAUUCAUUUCUAUUGGACUCAGAAGACUCUAAAGAUAUGGACGUUCAUGUACCCAUAUAUUUUUGGUAUUUUUAAUUCUCCCUUAUAUUUUCUUAUGAUACUAUUCUGAACCUUCAUGUGCUCACAUAUUUUUGAUAUUUUAUGACUAUAUAAAAUAGACUCGAUAAUCGCCUAGGUAUAGUUACCUGAUAACUAGGGGAUACCUCCAAGCUAGAUGUUUGCAAUAGUUGGUGUUGAUGAUCUUCAGAGUGAGCUUACCGGCAGCGCUCUAGGUGGGUGCCACUAAUAGACUCUCUCCUUGUCAUAAUGUUGUUUCUGCAUAAUUACUCUAAAAAGAAAACCAAAACUCGAGGCUUGAAUUUGUUAAUAGGUUAGCGGUCAGCCAAAGAGUAAUUGAUCACCUUUAAGAGCUAGCUUUAAUGUUGUCUAAUUUAAACAGGAUUUCAAUUUUCUCUUAUUUUUGAUUUUUCUAUUUAUGAUGCAGGAAUUUAAAUGCUAUAUUUUUGUUAUUUUUAUUUUAUGCCACCACAGCGGAUAUUCCUUUGAAAAAUACCAUAGGGUAUCCCCAUGGAGUUUGUGAUGCCAUAAGUAAUGCAGUACAUAUUUUUAUUGUUUUUAUAUCUUUUAGUGUGUAAACAAAAUUAUGCUACUAAAUAAAUUACAAAUGCAUUUAAAGAGAUAACUACCAUUCUAACCUUAUGGCUAGGGUACGGUGUUUUUAGUCCUUCGAACUGGGCUUCUUCUUUCACUUUUGUGUAUCUCUCCAUCUUUAGAGAUGGAGGUCUUGUUAGUUGCAUACCUUUAGUGAUAAUGAUGUCACCUUUGUUCUUUGAUUUGGCCAGUAGGUUGAAUGAGAGUUUAAAUAGUAGCUGGCAGCAUCUUGCUCAGUGUGCAUGUUCACAGAACUUUUACUUGUAGAAUUAAUAAACUUUGCUUGAUAUAUUAUCUUGUUUGCAAAACUAAGGUAGAGAUCAAGUGCAUGGACUCUGCUAGUGGAAAAACACCAACAUAACCAAAUCUAUUUCUUUAUUUAAUUUUCUCCAUCCUUAGGCACAUUAAACAAGAUAAAGUUGGGUUACAUGAUUUAUUUAUUUAUGAGUGGUAAGAUCAAAAGAUCAAGCAUUUAAUGUUGCAUUUAAGUUCACAUGACAGAAAAGAAUGAAAUUGCUUAAUCAAUGGAAGGAUUGUCUAUCUCUAUAUAAAUUUUCAAAUAAGUAUGUCUAUCAUCUUCCCAAGAUUAAAUAUAAUGUUUUAACUUGUUUAGUUAAGACUGAGAUUAAGGGGACGGUGUCAUAAACAAUCUUAAAAGACAAAUCAUGUUGAGUUAACCAGGUUAAUCAAUUUAAGUUGUAACUCUAGCAUGUUUGUGUUUUAAUUUAUGUGCACACCAAGAUCAAGAGGAGAGAGUGACCACUUACCUUAGAAUAUUACCUUCAUUAUUAGAGCGUGAUGACACUAACUGAUGGAGGGUAAAUGACUGGUGGUCUAUCCUCUUGCAUCUUGAGUUGUUCAUAGACAUCUUGUCUCCUCUAUUGCGCUCAUUCUUUUGCCAUCUUUUGCUUCUUUAAUCUGUUGACUCUUUUCACUCCAGUCAUUAUUAUGCUUGCAAUAGAUUAGUGGACAACACAUACCCGAAGGAGUAUACAAGUUUUUAACAUAGGUUGCUUGUCCAGUAUUUUAUUUUGCUCUAUCUAUGCUAAUGAAAAGAUAGUAUUAAUAUUGUUUUAGCAUAGAUUAUGUUUUAUACAGACAUGGCUCGAGGCAAAGUAACUUGUAGUAGAAGAUAAAGUGAAUGAAUCAUUAAUGUUCACAGUUCUUUCAUUCAUGAUGAAUGACCCGUGUCUUCUUCUACAAAGUUAUCGAAGUUUAUGAUGUGCUCUGUCUUAAAUCUAAAUUCAUCUCCUCACUUACCCAAAUUAAAUUUAAAACUUUUCCUCUAGGGGUUAGUCCACAAAAUAUCUAUUGUCUACUACAAUAUAUUAUUAGUUCAAAAUUCAACCUAGACACCACGUCUAAUUUGAUUUAGGAAGGCAUUUUAACCUAAGCACCACACUUAAUUCAAAAGGUGUAUGAAAAUACUCCAAACCUUAAGGAUACUAUAGCAAACAAAGGUAACAUGAAAGUUUAUAGAGUGUUAUUCAAAUGGAGAUGAAAGAGCAUGAUUAACAAAUUGCAUAAAGGUAGAGACAACCAAUAUUAGCAACAUAAGAUUUUCUAAAUAAGGUCAUUCCCCCAAGCUAGAAUUUUGCAAAGUAAAUGUAAACUUGAGUGGAUGUAAUUCAAAAUUGCAUAAUGAUAGGUUAGUGAUACUUGGUGCUGCCAUUAUUAAUUUUCUCACUUCAAACCUAAAAUGAUUAGUGACAAGAGUAUUCAUAGAAAUAUUUUGACAAUUAUAUUUCUAUGCUAAAGGUGCAAGCUUAAUUCAUUUUUUUAAGAGUGGUUAUUUUAGACCACAAAGUUGUUCUUGGGAAAGCUUCUGAUUAUUAUAAUUUGAGUUGGUGAGGUGGUUUCCUCUAGAACAUUAGCCUUUGUGCACCUAUAUCCAAAUUACAACAGAUCUAUAAUAAACAUAUGCAUCUACAACCACCCUCUUAAUGAUUUUAUGAAUAGGUAGAAUAAGGGGUUGAGGAUAUCGUUUGUGAUAAUAUUAGAGACUAAUUGAUCCAGGAGAUUUCUCAUAUCAGCAUGGGUCUGAUAGGGUGUUUAAUGAAAUAAUUCACAUGCUCGACAAUAUGAUCUCCCUUUACAAACUCCAAGGGUGUCUCUUCAUGGUUGUCUAUAGGCAAUAAGUUUGCCUCUAUUAUUUCAUGCCUAUGACAUUUAUUAGAUAUUUUAUUUUCUAGGAUUGCCCAUGAAUUGAUGUCCCUAAGGUUGGUCUCAUCUAAAGCUUUCUCUAAGGGGUGGGUUUUGUUUAUCAAAGAAAUUGAUUUAAGCUCAACAUUUGAAUUUAGACCAAGUUUAGAUGCUAGUUCUAAAACUUCAUCGUCUUCCAUCCAUUCUUUGACAAUAGCAUAUGUAUUUCUCAUAUGUUCUACAUAUUUAUGCUAUUGCCAUUGCUCUUCUUGGGUAUUCCUAUAAUUUUUAUGACUCCUAUUCUUAGGAUGUCUUGAUGGAUUUCUAGGGUCAUUAUAAAGUUUAGUAGAAGGAGAAUAAAAAGAUUUAUUGGGGUCAAGGAUGGGUUUAGAGAUAGGUUCAAAGACAUUUAAUACGGGCAUAGAAGGGGAGAAGAUAGAAUUUAUUUCUAAGUGGCUUGGCUCUCCGUCUAUGGCAUCACUUGGCAUGCCAUCCUUGAAUUCUUCCCAAUGUCUUUUUAGGAAGGAAAGGAAGUUGAUGAUGCUUUUUCCAAGAUACUCUUCUAAGAAGAUCUGAUAUGCAUUGAUUUAGGAGCAUCUUAGCUAAUUGGAAGUCUAAAUCAUUAAAGUGGAAUUUAAAGGUUUAGGAUUGAUAGCUAAAUUUUGGGAAUGAAAUGAUUGUGUUUUAGCUACGAAGACUUCCGUUUUUAGUUUGGAUAAUAAAUCCUUUUCUUCUUUUGGGGAGUUCAGAAAUAGCCAGAGCAACUCUUUUGAGCAUAAUCUCUUGCUUUUUAAAAGAUAAGAAAGAACUCUCGAGAAGAUAAAUCAAGGGAUUCCUUGUAACUCUUGGUAAGACCCAAAUGUUGAAUAAACAUGGGACCUAGCAAACCAAGAUCAGGAUUAAUGAUCCCAUGAUAUAUUUGAGAAGGGUUUAUUAUAUUAUGUAGAUAUGGGCAUAGCUUAUAGAUAUUAUGAUAAGGUCUAUGGUUUAAGGUUUUGCACAUGCCAUAAAGAUAGUUGUGGAAUUUAAAUAAAUAUCCAUAAACACAAAAAAUAAUGAAGAGACUGCGAUAAAAACAGGACAAUAUAAAAGUAUAAUACAAGAUUAAGCUAAACUAAGUCAAAAUCAGCAAACUAUUUCCCGGCAACGGCGUCAAAAAUGCUUGUUGGUAUAAAUUAACUACACUUCUUUAAAUAAGAUUUAAGUAAGAUUAUCCGUAAGUGCACAGAUAUCGUACCAAUGUCAUAUUUUACCCGAAGGUUUUAAAUAUCGUAUCCAUAAAGAACAGCUGUGAUGAUGACCAAGUAUAUAGACUUAACCCUACAAUUAGGCUAGAUUAUAUCAAGAAAAAAGAAAUAGCUAAUGCACUCUGGUUCUGACUCUGGUAAACUUUGUAUAAUAUUGUCUUAUCGGACAAGUAACCCGAAUAGAAGAAGAAACAGAAUAAUCUCCUACCAGACACCCAUAAGUAUAUCAGUCCUAUCAAUGGGAAGUGGACUAUAUAGGAAUCAACGUAGCUAUAAAGUCACCUACGCAAGCUACCACUGUCCGGCUGAUCAGAGGACAUCCACAAGUAAACCUAGCCUAGGCACCACGCCUACACUACGAAAUACUACUUCAACCAAAUAAUUACCAAGAUCAAAGCACUCAAUGAGUUGUGAACGAAAGAACGAAUAAGAACAAGUUGCUUACUUAAAUCGGAAUGGUAAGUACAAAAGUACCUUAGAACGCAGCUCCAUGCGAGGGAACUGGAUCCAGACAAAUACAGCCACGAAGAAGCGACGAUAGGCCAGAACUCCUCCAGAAUCUCUACUCCUCUACUCAAUCUCUCUAAUCUCUAAACAGGACUAGAUCUAGAAGAACUAGUCUCUCCUAUUUGCUACAUCUAGAUGAACUAGAACUAGAUCAACUAGAGGGACCCUAACCCUAAUUAUGUAGAGAAUAUGAAGCACCGGGGUGUAGAAUGCCUCUUAGGGGAGCCUUGGGCAUCAUUAUAUAGGCCGAGGUGGAGUAGGGGGCAAGGAACCGCCACGUCAGCAAUCCACGUCUUCACCUUGUGUGCACUGUCGGAUCAAACCGACUUAAAAUCAACGGAGAGAUACUUUGUUUGGCUUCUAAAGAGGCGUAGGAGGAAGACUCCGGAAGGCGGCGGCCAUCGGGCGAAAUGGGGCGCCAACCGGCCCCAGGAUGGGGCCGGCCGGCCCCACCUUGUUUCCUUUGCGGGUCUUGUUCCUUCAGGUGUCUUUUAGACCCUUCCUGAGUCUUCUCGUGAUGUUUUUCGUCGCGGAUGAGUUUCGUGGUAAAUAUGCACUAGAAUCCCUUUUUCAGUUUUUCUGAAAUUCACCCUGGAAAAUACAGAAUAUGCAAAACUCAUAGAAAUUAUCAGAUAAAACCCUAGACUAGUGUGUUUUUAUGUGUUCCCUUGUGUCUAAAGUUCUAAUAAAUAUUGACGUUAUCGACCGUCAACAGCUGGCCAGGCCGGCCCAACACCGGUCGAGAGCAGAAGAGGGAUGUAGAUUUUUUUUAUUUAGUAAAUUUAUUUUGAAGCCCAAAUUAAAUGUUUGAUGCAUGAAAAAUUGAUUAUAUUUAUGUAUGAUGCAUGGAAAAUUAAUUAGAUAUACAUAUGAUGCAUGGGAAAUUAAUUAUAUAUAUGUAUGAAGCAUGAAAACUAAUUAUAUAUAUGUAUGAAGCAUGAUAAAUCAGUUAUAUAUAUGUAUGAUGUAUGGAAAAUUAAUUAUAUAAGUGUAUGAUGCAUGGAAAAUUAAUUAUAUAAAUGUAUGAUGCAUGGAACAUUAAUUAUAUAUAUGUAUGUGCAUGAAAAAUUAAUAAUAUUCGUACAAGGGAAGUAGUCACAGGCUUAGCGAUCCUAGGACGACAAUUCCUUGGUCGGAACAUUCCAGAAGACUACUGCAGGGUAGAAGUAUCGAUGAUCAAUUGAUCAUCCAAGGAUACGAGGACGACAUGCUAAAUAUCCCUGGUCCUGAGAGUAUUGAGAAACUCAGAUAGGCUAUCAAGAAUUUCAUCUUUUGGCCUCGACGGGAUGUCUGGUUGAGUGAGCCACCACCAACCUCUAAAGCCCUGCCACUAACUCAGGAGUCAUCACCUACCGAUCCUCUUCCUAACCCACAAUCAUCAUGUGCCCAGACUCUUUGUAACCCACCAUCGUCAUUGAUCAUGUCUGAUCCUCCUAACCCACCAUCAUCAACUAACUCACUAACUUUGCCACCAACAUUGCCAUUUAAGUAUCCACCUUCACCACCACCCAAAGAUCCUGAACAAACGAUUCCACCACCAUCGUCGCCAAAGAAGAAAGCAGGCAAAGCUAAGAAGAAUUUUUCAGUAUCCAGAUUGGUUUCCCCCUUGAAGCCAAGAAAAAAACUACUAUCAUGACAAUUUUUUUGUUAGGAAUUGCACUAACCCGCACGUCACGUGUUGUUGACAUGGCUGAACACAAGAAGUCAGUGAAAAAGCUAGUGGUACGACGACUAUAGAGAUUAGGAAAGCAACGUGGAAUGAUACUAAAAUGUCCCUAAUAAAUAUGUGCCACACAAGCCUCUACUCAGUUGGGAAGAACUCAAAAAGGUCCUAGCUGGUAUAAAAAGAAUGCAUAAUUGGUACAUGAGAGCAUCUUUUGUUAGCAUCAACACAAUCAACAUGUGUAUACCACCAUUUGCUUUUGUUAGUGGCCGUGAAACAACUAUUGUUACCUUUGAGGACAUGUGGUUGAUGAUGAACCUCGAGAGACUUAACGUACAACUUGUAAUGGUGUUUGCAUUAUAAGUAUUAUUCAUACUUACGCAUGCAUGUGUUAUUAUUAUUGAGUUAUAUAUCAAGUUUCAAUCUCUAACAUGCAUGUGCAACUUGCAAAAAUGCAGUAUGAUGAACAGGAGAUGUGUUACAGUCCCGAUCCUUGUUCUAAUGCUAGUAAAAGGGUUGAGUACUCGACCCAAUAAAAAUAUACAAGGAGCAGCACACAUUCUCAAUCAGUCCGGAGCAUGAAGAAUUACAGAGGAAGACACCUGAAGAAGCUCAGAAGCAUAUAGCAGAAAUGAAGAAGACAUUUGAUGCCAAAUACAUCGUCUAUCUAGGACUAGGACACACAAUGCUUUAGUUUUAAGACAGGGCAUCCGUAGUGGCCCUGUUCAACUUUAAAUAAGUGUGAGUUUGCAUACAUCAAAUUAAUAAUUUCAAUACACAUGCAUUGUAAAUUUGAUUCAUAUAAGGACCACUAGAUCUACUUAAUCAUUUAUCCUA
rnacentral:lncRNA from 1 species